GGGUCGGUUUUAGCUCAAGCGGUUACUUCGUCAUGCAGACUACUAAUCCCUAUCCUGGGGUUCGAGACCCGCGGGUGCUUUCUGACCCUUUU
rnacentral:vault_RNA from 1 species